rnacentral:rRNA from 1 species
UACGUAGGUGGCAAGCGUUGUCCGGAUUUAUUGGGUUUAAAGGGCGCGUAGGCGGUUUUGUAAGUCAGUGGUGAAAUAUGGCAGCUUAACUGUCAAGGUGCCAUUGAUACUGCGGAGCUUGAGUACAGAUGAGGUAGGCGGAAUUGACGGUGUAGCGGUGAAAUGCUUAGAUAUCGUCAAGAACACCUAUAGCGAAGGCAGCUUACUAGGCUGUAACUGACGCUGAGGCACGAAAGUGUGGGGAUCAAACAGG